rnacentral:rRNA from 1 species
GACAGAGGAUGCAAGCGUUAUCCGGAAUGAUUGGGCGUAAAGCGCGUGUAGGCGGCUUUGCAAGUCGGGUGUGAAAGCCCUCAGCUCAACUGAGGAAGUGCGCCCGAAACUGCAGAGCUUGAGUGCCGGAGAGGGUGGCGGAAUUCCCCAAGUAGAGGUGAAAUUCGUAGAUAUGGGGAGGAACACCGGUGGCGAAGGCGGCCACCUGGACGGUAACUGACGCUGAGACGCGAAAGCGUGGGUAGCAAACAGG